UGAUAUUUUGCUUCGGCUACUAAAAAUUGGAAAGAUACAGAGAAGAUUAGCAUGGCCCCUGCACAAGGAUGACACGCAAAUUUGUGAAGAGUUCCAUAUUGUU